ensembl:lincRNA
AGACCCGUGCUCUUUCUCGGAAUUCGAGGCGCCCAGGGCAGCACGCACCCAGGCUGGAGAGGGACCCGGGCAGCUCGCGCGCUGCACUUACCUGAGCACCUGAGCGCGGCUCCCGCCUCAGCUUCGGGUGCGGCGCCGGCACAGACCGAGGGUCCCAGAGUAGCGGCGAAAGCUGCCUACUUGCGACCAAUCCCGGUGUUGAACCCGGUGCUCUGCCUGGUGCCGCGCUCCCCUCCCUCCUCACGCUCGCGGCUGCUCAAAAAACCCGGCGGCGCGGAGUUCAGGCUGCCGGCUCCCCAGCCCCGGAGGAGGGGGAGACGCGCGAGGAGGACGCGGGGGCGGGGGGCGGCGCGCGGGAACUGAGCAUGCUCAGUGCGCGGCCCGAGGAGGCGCGCGCCCCGGCGCUGCACCUGCCGGCCCUGCCCGCGGGGGAAGGGCCCGGCGCCCGGGAGCGGAGAUGUGGCAGGGUGCCUCGCCUGAGUCCCGGUCACCCGAUGAACCAUCAAGCCGAUGCCCGCGCCCUGCAGAGGAUAUGCUGCUUAGCGACGGGAAAUAAACCGCAUCGAUGCCGCCUUCUUUUCGAGUAUGGGGGCGCAAGGAGGCGCGACCUGCCCGGAAAACACAUGAAGCUCACUGCUUGCCACCUCUGCCAAAAAAGGAAGCCUCUUGCUGAAGCUCCCAGGAUUGGGGAGUGUUCCUGGGAGAACUAGCCCCUGCCAGGAGACAGGAAUGAUUUAUUUUGAUGACAACAUCCUCACACAUGUGUCCCCGCGGAUCUGGGACUGGCUUGGUGUCAGUUUCUUGCUCAGGGAAGUUGUCAUUGGGAUUCUCUGGGGGAAAAUGUUCCAAACGAAUCAAUUAGUGCUUCCAACAGCAAGUUUAAUAUCACUGCACUGAGUCCCCACUCUGUAUCAGUGCAUGAAUGAAUUACUAGUGCUCAUGUAAUUUGCAAGAAAACACCAUUGUAAGGCAGUGGAAAAUUUCUCCUGCCCAUUUAGCCUAGGUAGCAUCUAAGCAGAGACCUUCUGUAACCCCCUAUACAGUGCCCCCAAAUAAUUUUACUUCCAAGCCUUUUAAUCUUUGUGGACACAAGGUCACCUCUUAAUGCUCAUUAAACCAAUUUGAAAAGAGUCUGAUAACUCUUAAGGGAAAUUAACACUGAAAACGCUUUUGACUUUUUGGAGACAUGUAUGGAAUACAUCAGCAGGUUAGGCUCAGCAUGCAACAGUUCUGAAAACUCCAGAAAGGCAUUUAUCUACUCCUGUCACUUCUUCCCCACACAUCAAGAGGACAUGGUGGAAAUAGCUUUAAUAAAAGUGGAAAAAGGAAGAGUAUCAUAGGAAAAGAAAUAUACAUUCCAAAUACAUCUGAUGUGAUUUGAUUUUCUUCUUACACCUUGCAUCCAGGAUCAUUUAAAAAAACCAAAUAAACACUACCCUCUCUUUUCUAAAUGACUUGACUAAGGCCAUCCGGUGGCAAGAAUGUUUCAAUUAGAUAACACAUACCUUCCUUUUAUAAUUAGUUGUUGCUUAUUUUUAGUGUUUUUGGUAUCUAGAUAAAUCUUUCAGUAUGAAGCAACACUUGUACCCUAUCCCCGGGUUUUAAAACUAGUUCAAAUUCACUUUGAUCAAGUGGUUAAAGCAGUGCUUUUUAAGGAAUUGUGUCAAGAGGAGCUUUGUGUUCAUUGUUGAAACAGAUUGUAAUGAAACAAAGCUCAGGUAAAGACUUUCAGACUAGGCUCCUUAAGGUUCCUCCUCUUCAAUUGUUUUAGGUGAUUGAUGGAUGCUUGAGUUUCAAACUAAGGGCUUCAGAACAAUAAUGGCCACAUAGAGGGAUAAUGAUACUUAACAGACAAAAGCACAGUUAAUUGCCAUGAAGGUUGUGAUAUAGAUUGACAGAGUCAGAGUAAGCUGGAAGCCUGAAACCCCAGCCAAGACUACUUUAUAAACAUGGCAGUGAGACUCCGAC